UGAUCCAGCCAUGCCGCGUGAGUGAUGACGGCCUUAGGGUUGUAAAGCACUUUCAGCAGUGAAGAUAAUGACAUUAACUGCAGAAGAAGCCCCGGCUAACUUCGUGCCAGCAGCCGCGGUAAU
rnacentral:rRNA from 1 species